UACGGGGGGGGCAAGCGUUGUUCGGAAUUACCGGGCGUAAAGGGCUCGUAGGCGGCCAACUAAGUCAGACGUGAAAUCCCUCAGCUUAACUGGGGAACUGCACCUGAAACUGCCUGGCUAGAGUCCCGGAGAGGAAGGCAGAAUUCCCGGUGUAGGGGUGAAAUCCGUAGAUAUCGGGAGGAAUACCAGCGGCGAAGGCGGCCUUCUGGACGGUGACUGACGCUGAGACGCGAAAGCGUGGGGAGCAAACAGG
rnacentral:rRNA from 1 species